AUUGAACGCUGGCGGCAGGCUUAACACAUGCAAGUCGAGCGGAUCGGCAGCUGGGUGAGUAAUGCUCAUGAAUCGGCCUGGUAGUGGGGGAUAACGUCCGGAAACGGGCGCUAAUACUGCAUACUCUCAGCUGAGCCUCUGUCGGCUUCGCUAGUUGGGGGGGUAAAGGCCUACCAAGGCGACGAUCCGUAACUGGUCUGAGAGGAUGAUCAGUCACACUGGAACUGAGACACGGUCCAGACUCCUACGGGAGGCAGCAGUGGGGAAUAUUGGACAAUGGGCGAAAGCCUGAUCCAGCCAUGCCGCGUGUGUGAAGAAGGUCUUCGGAUUGUAAAGCACUUUAAGUUGGGAGGCGUUACCAACAGAAUAAGCACCGGCUAACUUCGUGCCAGCAGCCGCGGUAAUUC
rnacentral:rRNA from 1 species